rnacentral:rRNA from 1 species
GAGGUUAAGUUAAUAAGGGCGCACGGUGGAUGCCUUGGCACUAGAAGCCGAAGAAGGACGUGACUAACGACGAAAUGCUUUGGGGAGCUGUAAGUAAGCGCUGAUCCAGAGAUGUCCGAAUGGGGGAACCCACUAGUUAAUGACUAGUAUCCAUAUCUGUUAAGGAUAUGAGAAGGAAGACGCAGUGAACUGAAACAUCUAAGUAGCUGCAGGAAGAGAAAGCAAAAGCGAUUGCCUUAGUAGCGGCGAGCGAAACGGCAGGAGGGCAAACCGAAGUGUUUACACUUCGGGGUUGUAGGACUGCGAUAUAGGAUUAAUCAUUAUAGAAGAAUUACCUGGGAAGGUAAGCCAAAGAGAGUAACAGCCUCGUAUUUAAAAUGAUAGAUUAACCUUAGCAGUAUCCUGAGUACGGCGAGACACGCGAAAUCUCGUCGGAAUCUGGGAGGACCAUCUCCCAACCCUAAAUACUCUCUAGUGACCGAUAGUGAACCAGUACCGUGAGGGAAAGGUGAAAAGCACCCCGGGAGGGGAGUGAAAUAGAACCUGAAACCGUGUGCCUACAACAAGUUCGAGCCCGUUAAUGGGUGAGAGCGUGCCUUUUGUAGAAUGAACCGGCGAGUUACGAUAUGAUGCGAGGUUAAGUUGAAGAGACGGAGCCGUAGGGAAACCGAGUCUUAAUAGGGCGUCAUAGUAUCAUGUUGUAGACCCGAAACCAUGUGACCUACCCAUGAGCAGGUUGAAGGUGAGGUAAAACUCACUGGAGGACCGAACCAGGGCACGUUGAAAAGUGCUUGGAUGACUUGUGGGUAGCGGAGAAAUUCCAAACGAACUUGGAGAUAGCUGGUUCUCUCCGAAAUAGCUUUAGGGCUAGCGUCGAUGUUAAGUCUCUUGGAGGUAGAGCACUGUUUGGGUGAGGGGUCCAUCCCGGAUUACCAAUCUCAGAUAAACUCCGAAUGCCAACGAGAUAUAAUCGGCAGUCAGACUGCGAG